rnacentral:rRNA from 1 species
UACGAAGGGGGCUAGCGUUGUUCGGAAUUACUGGGCGUAAAGCGCACGUAGGCGGAUUUGUAAGUCAGGGGUGAAAUCCCGGGGCUCAACCCCGGAACUGCCUUUGAUACUGCGAGUCUUGAGGUCGAGAGAGGUGAGUGGAAUUCCGAGUGUAGAGGUGAAAUUCGUAGAUAUUCGGAGGAACACCAGUGGCGAAGGCGGCUCACUGGCUCGAUACUGACGCUGAGGUGCGAAAGCGUGGGGAGCAAACAGG